AAUGGCGACCGGCGCACGGGUGAGUAACACGUAUCCAACCUGCCGAUAACUCCGGAAUAGCCUUUCGAAAGAAAGAUUAAUACCGGAUGGCAUACGAAUAUCGCAUGAUAUUUUUAUUAAAGAAUUUCGGUUAUCGAUGGGGAUGCGUUCCAUUAGUUCGUUGGCGGGGUAACGGCCCACCAAGACUACGAUGGAUAGGGGUUCUGAGAGGAAGGUCCCCCACAUUGGAACUGAGACACGGUCCAA
rnacentral:rRNA from 1 species